CCUACGGGAGGCAGCAGUGAGGAAUAUUGGUCAAUGGCCGAGAGGCUGAACCAGCCAAGUCGCGUGAGGGAAGACGGCCCUACGGGUUGUAAACCUCUUUUGUCGGGGAGCAAAGCGAACCACGUGUGGUUCAUUGAGAUUACCCGAAGAAAAAGCAUCGGCAAACGCCGUGCCAGCCGCCGCGGUAAUACGGAGGAUGCGAGCGUUAUCCGGAUUUAUUGGGUUUAAAGGGUGCGCAGGCGGAGUUGCAAGUCAGCGGUCAAAUUGCGGGGCUCAAGCCCGUACUGCCGUUGAAACUGCAUCCGUUGAUUGCGCGAGAAGUAUGCGGAAUGCGUGGUGUAGCGGUGAAAUGCAUAGAUAUCACGCAGAACGCCGAUUGCGAAGGCAGCAUACCGGCGCGCAACUGACGCUCAUGCACGAAAGCGUGGGUAUCGAACAGGAUUAGAUACCCUAGUAGUC
rnacentral:rRNA from 1 species